ensembl:snRNA U6 U6 spliceosomal RNA
UUGCUUCAGCAGCACAUAUACUAAAACUGGAAUGAUAUGGAGAAGAUUAGCAUGGUCCCUGAGCAAGGAUGAUAAGCAAAUUUGUGAAGUGUUCCAUAUUUUU